GAUGAACGCUGGCGGCGUGCCUAAUACAUGCAAGUCGAGCGAACAGAUGAGGAGCUUGCUCCUCUGACGUUAGCGGCGGACGGGUGAGUAACACGUGGAUAACCUACCUAUAAGACUGGGAUAACUUCGGGAAACCGGAGCUAAUACCGGAUAAUAUAUUGAACCGCAUGGUUCAAUAGUGAAAGACGGUUUUGCUGUCACUUAUAGAUGGAUCCGCGCCGCAUUAGCUAGUUGGUAAGGUAACGGCUUACCAAGGCAACGAUGCGUAGCCGACCUGAGAGGGAGAGCGGCAAGACGGAGACGGAGACACGGAACAGAAGACAACGGGAGGGAGCAGUAGGGAAUAUUCCGAAAUGGGCGAAAGCUUGACAGAGCAAGGCCGAGUGAGUGAUGAAGGUGUUCGGAUAGUAAAACUCUGUUAUUAGGGAAGAACAAAAGUGUAAGUAACUAUGCACGGCUUGACGGUACCUAAGCAGAAAGCCACGGCUAACUACGUG
rnacentral:rRNA from 1 species